GGGGCUGACUUGGAUUUCGACAGAUUUCUUGUCGCACAGAUAGCAUGCCAAGCGCUGCUUGUAAAACAGCAACAAAAAUAACUGUAAACAACGCAGAUUACGCUCCAGCUUACGCUAAAGCUGCGUGAGUUAAUCUCCUUUUGGAGCUGGACUGAUUAGAAUUUCUAGCGUUUUAAUCACUCCAUAACCUUAAGCUAGACGCUUUUAAAAGGUGGUUCGCCUUUUAAACUAAGAAACAAGAACUCUUGAAACUACCUCAAGGUUUUAGAAAGUUGGACCAGAGCUAGUUUUAAGGCUAAAAAGCUAACCAAUUUUCUAAGCAUUGUAGAAGUUUGUGUUUAGGACAAGAUUUUUGGACUGGGGUUCGAUUCCCCACAGCUCCACCA
rnacentral:tmRNA from 1 species